CACGAGCAUCCUCGGGGAAAGCGUGUCCAACCCCAUCCUCCUCCCCCGCAGGAAAAGGAGGGGACGGGACCAGGAGGUGAGGAGUCCGCGAUCUGGGCUGAUGUGCUGAUCGAGGGAGACCGGUGCUCCUUUCCCCACUGGGAGUCUCCUCGGUGGGACCAGAGUGGAGUGUUCAGGUGUCCGGAGACAUGCAGAUGCCUUCGGGACAGAAGAGGAAGCAAGAACUGCCGGUUACCCCCAGUUGUACGGAGAAGUUGGCGGCGGGCCCGCGGGUGGGCGGAGGGCAGACUCCAGUUGACCAAUAUUUUGGCAUAAGAUUCUCCAGGGCUCCUUUCCCCCACAGAAUCCUUGAACAACCAGCAACAACUUGAAGAGCCAUCUUCCUCAGAACUUGGGAAAUAGUUAAAAGGUUGCUACAACUAGAUAUUUCCAUCAGUGGGAAUUCCUUUGUAAAAAGAUGAUACUCUGUCUUCCCACGAUACUGGAUUCUGUCAUUGAUAAUCAGUUUUUUAUCACAUCUUGAAGGAAAUUUGGUGAUUUAGUUUUUCUUAGAAAAGUCUGUUGUCCAUUUAAUUUGUUUGAUCAGUAUUUGAAAGUAUAAACAUGGAUGCAUACAUAUGUUUUAUUAUAAUUUUUGUUCUGUGAUUGUACAGUUCAUGCUCUUUUCAUUCUCAAUUUCAUGUAUUUCCAAUUUUUCUUUUAUUUACCUUAUUGCAGCAACCAAAAUUUUUAUUUUUCUGAUAUCCUCCGUUUAUUUCUAAUUCUUUAGGAAUAAAAAGAUUCAUGAUGAUGAAGUGUAGCAUUUGGAGUUCCACUGCAGAAAAUGCAAAACCAUUCUGUCUAAAACAGAAAUUUUCUGUCUAAUCAGAAAGAGAUUAGAUGGAAUUGCAUGAUUAAGAGUUUUGGAAAGACUACGAGAGUCAAGCUUGAUUUUGAGUCCUCAGGAAUGAUUCCAAAAG